CACGUAGGGACCAAGCGUUGUCCGGAUUCAUUGGGCGUAAAGAGCUCGUAGGCGGUUCGAUAAGUCGGGUGUGAAACCUCCAGGCUCAACCUGGAGACGCCACCCGAUACUGUCGUGACUAGAGUCCAGUAGGGGAGCGUGGAAUUCCUGGUGUAGCGGUGAAAUGCGCAGAUAUCAGGAGGAACACCGGUGGCGAAGGCGGGUCUCUGGGCAGUAACUGACGCUGAGGAGCGAAAGCGUGGGGAGCGAACAGG
rnacentral:rRNA from 1 species